rnacentral:pre_miRNA from 1 species
UCUAAGUGCAACCAUGAGUUUUCGUGCCCAACUUUAAUUGUCCGUCUUUUUUAUUUUUUUAAUAAUUAGUAUUUUUGUUGUUAUAAGAUGAUAAAACAUGAAUAGUACUUUACUCGUGAUUUAUGUUUUUAAUUUUUUUUAAUUUUUUUUAAAUAAGACGAACGAUCAAAGUUGAGCGCGGAAAACCAUGGCUGCACUUAAA